rnacentral:snoRNA from 2 species
UCUCGGUGAUGAUUUCACAGAUGACGAGUCUGAUAUAUCCAUUCCAUUCAUUAUGAAGACGAAUCGAGGCAUUUGUCUGAGAGAU